ensembl:lncRNA
GUCAGCGUUGCUGCGGUGUUUUUUGGGAUUGAAGAAACGCACUGACACACCACCAGUUCAGGGGACCCAGUUACCACGGACGCUGGGCCAGCUGGUGGCAGGGCCCCCCCCAGGAGGCGAUAAGGGGAGCGGGGAAGCAGCAAGUAGGGGAGUAGGUCGAGAAAUGAAUGAAGGAGGCAGGAAGGGAGGCAUAAGAGGAGGUCAAAGAGACGUAGCUGGAUUCAAAUUAGCGGCUGAAAUUUCACGCUCGAUGCGGGAACGGGAGAUUAUUUACGGUUGCCGGCCCCACCCUCUUAGACCCGUCAGAACCACUGACAAAACAACCAAUUAACGGAUUGGUAAUUCCCCAGUUAGCCUCAUGGGCCCUUCUGUCCAGACUUUGAACGACCACUUCUAAAAUUAGCAUACGUUUUGUUUUGUUUAGCAGGUGGUUGGCCGGAUGGCUCGCGGCCCCGUCCAAUGGAAAUCCUUCAGACUCUUACAGGAAGUUCCAGAUAACCCCUGUAGAAUUUGGAAUAUUCAACCAGUUCUAAAGAGAAAAUCCACAUAAAGAGUCUGAUUAUGUUAACAGUGGAAAGCCUAUAGAACUACACUCUAUCCAUUCAUCUAUAAUGCAUCAGUCUCACUGGUAGUGCUGGCCAGGUGAAUGUUCUUUUCAAACCUUUUAAAUCUGAGAAUUGACAGUAUAUUUACUGAGAGGAACAUAUAGUGCCUGCAGGUUCGGGAGAUGUGAAUUACAACAGCGCAUAGCAAAAGCAGUUGCCAAUUAAUAAUUCUUGAUUCAUGUAAUGGAGAUUUAAUGAAAUUAUUUAAAUCGGAUCCCAUUGCAACAGAAAGUAUAGUUUAGCCUACUAUUGAUUGUCGAGUUCAGAAAGUGCCAAAGUUGCAGUAGCCUACUUCCGUUGUAUAGCCAACUUAUUUGCGUGAAAGAUAUGGUGUGGCGAUAAAUUCCGCUGUAUGUGUGUCAGCGGCGCUACUGAGGUUGCAGCAAAAGAUGUCUCCACCAAAUACUACCUAUUUUUUACAUAUAUUUC